rnacentral:rRNA from 1 species
UACGAAGGGGGGCUAGCGUUGUUCGGAUUUACUGGGCGUAAAGCGCACGUAGGCGGAUCGUUAAGUCAGGGGGUGAAAUCCUGGAGCUCAACUCCAGAACUGCCUUUGAUACUGGCGAUCUUGAGUAUGGAAGAGGUGAGUGGAAUUCCGAGUGUAGAGGUGAAAUUCGUAGAUAUUCGGAGGAACACCAGUGGCGAAGGCGGCUCACUGGUCCAUUACUGACGCUGAGGUGCGAAAGCGUGGGGAGCAAACAGGG